GCGUGCCUAACACAUGCAAGUCGAACGGGAAUCUUCGGAUUCUAGUGGCGGACGGGUGAGUAACGCGUAAGAAUCUAACUUCAGGACGGGGACAACAGUUGGAAACGACUGCUAAUACCCGAUGUGCCGCAAGGUGAAACCUAAUUGGCCUGAAGAAGAGCUUGCGUCUGAUUAGCUAGUUGGUGGGGUAAAGGCCUACCAAGGCGACGAUCAGUAGCUGGUCUGAGAGGAUGAGCAGCCACACUGGGACUGAGACACGGCCCAGACUCCUACGGGAGGCAGCAGUGGGGAAUUUUCCGCAAUGGGCGAAAGCCUGACGGAGCAACGCCGCGUGAGGGAGGAAGGUCUUUGGAUUGUAAACCUCUUUUCUCAAGGAAGAAGUUCUGACGGUACUUGAGGAAUCAGCCUCGGCUAACUCCGUGCCAGCAGCCGCGGUAAUACGGGGGAGGCAAGCGUUAUCCGGAAUUAUUGGGCGUAAAGCGUCCGCAGGUGGUCAGCCAAGUCUGCUGUCAAAUCAGGUUGCUUAACGACCUAAAGGCGGUGGAAACUGGCAGACUAGAGAGCAGUAGGGGUAGCAGGAAUUCCCAGUGUAGCGGUGAAAUGCGUAGAGAUUGGGAAGAACAUCGGUGGCGAAAGCGUGCUACUGGGCUGUAUCUGACACUCAGGGACGAAAGCUAGGGGAGCGAAAGGGAUUAGAUACCCCUGUAGUCCUAGCCGUAAACGAUGGAUACUAGGCGUGGCUUGUAUCGA
rnacentral:rRNA from 1 species